UACGGGGGGGGCAAGCGUUGUUCGGAAUUACUGGGCGUAAAGGGUUUGUAGGUGGCCGAUUAAGUCAUACGUGAAAUCCCUCAGCUUAACUGGGGAACUGCGUCUGAUACUGGUUGGCUUGAGUGCAGGAGAGGAACGCGGAAUUCCAGGUGUAGCGGUGAAAUGCGUAGAUAUCGAGAGGAACACCUGCGGCGAAGGCGGGUUGCUGGGCUGAUACUGACGCUGAGGCGCGAAAGCCAGGGGAGCGAACGGG
rnacentral:rRNA from 1 species